rnacentral:rRNA from 1 species
UACGAAGGGUGCAAGCGUUACUCGGAAUUACUGGGCGUAAAGCGUGCGUAGGCGGUUUGUUAAGUCUGUCGUGAAAGCCCCGGGCUCAACCUGGGAAUGGCGAUGGAAACUGGCGAGCUAGAGUACGGUAGAGGAGAGUGGAAUUCCCGGUGUAGCAGUGAAAUGCGUAGAUAUCUGGAGGAAUACCGGUGGCGAAGGCGGCAUCCUGGACCGACAUUGACGCUGAUGAGCGAAAGCUAGGGGAGCAAACGGG